rnacentral:rRNA from 1 species
UAGGGAAUAUUGCACAAUGGGCGAAAGCCUGAUGCAGCAACGCCGCGUGCACGAUGAAGGCCUUCGGGUCGUAAAGUGCUUUUCUGCGAGAUGAGAAAGGACAGUAUCGUAGGAAUAAGUCUCGGCUAACUACGUGCCAGCAGCCGCGGUAAAACGUAGGAGGCGAGCGUUAUCCGGAUUCACUGGGCGUAAAGCGCGUGCAGGUGGUUUGGUAAGUUGGGCGUGAAAUCUCCCGGCUCAACUGGGAGAGGUCGUCCAAUACUACCGAACUUGAGAGCAGAAGAGGAAGAUGGAAUUCCCGGUGUAGUGGUGAAAUGCGUAGAUAUCGGGAGGAACACCAGUGGCGAAGGCGAUCUUCUGGUCUGUUUCUGACACUCAGACGCGACAGCUAGGGUAGUAAACGGGAUUAGAGACCCCGGUAAUCCUAGCCGUAAACGAUGUGAACUUGGCGUUGGUGGGUUAAACUCCAUCAGUGCCGAAGCAAACGCGAUAAGUUCACCGCCUGGGGACUACGGCCGCAAGGUUA